rnacentral:lncRNA from 1 species
UGGUAGACCUGUUAACCAGAAGUCUCUCUGAUGGUCUCAGUGAACAUGUAAACAAUGAAACAGAAUUGGCCAAGUCUAUAGCAGACGGAGCAAUGUUGGAAGCUGCCAGCUUGUGUGUGGGGCAAAUGGUAAUCCUAUUUACUUACUUAUCACAGUUUUAUUUCAUGGGGCAGGAACGGUACUUGAUUGGUAGAACUAUGCUCAUGGUUUGAUUAAUGACACCAUUUUUAACCACCAUCGAGAAGCUUAAGAUAGUUACAGCUGCAGAUUGGGUCCCUCGAUUACAUGGUUGGGAAUCAACACCGUAACACACAAAAUACCUAUUACAGGGGAGACCAAAUAUAAAGUCUCAGCUGUUGUUAGAUUGCAGUUUACUACCCAGCCCAUUUCUGACAAAGGUACCAAAUCUAUACACAUCAUUUAAGCUAAAACUGCACUGUUUACUGCACCAAUUCAGUGCUAAAAACUGAUUUAUUCAGAUAUGGAACAAAGUCAGAACCGCCAACCUACAACAUUUCAGCAUUUCUGCUUUAAUCACGUUAUCAAAUUAAAGUUAGAUUGGAUGUAUAUUAACACACAUAUUUAAAAUGACAGAAACAAAUACAAAUUAAGUAAUGCAUAUAUAAUAACUAGUGAUGUCCCGAACGGUUCGCCGCGGACGGCGAACAUAUGCGGUAAACUUUGACCCUGUACCUCACAGUCAGCAGACACAUUCCAUCCAAUCAGCAGCAGACCCUCCCUCCCAGACUCUCCCACCUCCUGGACAGCUCACUAAGAAUGCAGCUUCACAAUGAAUGUAAAAUGGAUGCUGUCCAGGAGGUGGGAGGGUCUGGGAGGGAGGAUCUGCUGCUGAUUGGCUGGAAUGUGUCUGCUGACUGUGAGGUACAGGGUAAAAAGUUUACCGCAUAUGUUCGCUGCCCGUGGUGAACCGUUCGGGACAUCACUAAUAAUAACACAUUUAAAAGGGAUUCUCACAUAAAAUAAAUUGUAAAUAGAUACAAUACUAUACACAUAAAGAUUGUAGUGAAUCAAUGCAAUAUUAUUAAGGUAAGUAAAAAUACCUCGGUAGAAACACUGGUGGAGACUUGGGAAAAAUCAUAGUGAGCUAGAUAACAAGGUUUUGUUUUAUGUGCAUAUUUUUUAUGUAAUCAAGAAACAAACCAAUAGAGAUUAUCAGAAAUAACGGGGUCAGAUUUCUUAUUAAGCCAUUUUGUGCCAUGUGUCAAGAGUGAAAAUCUAAUAUUUUUCCAUUCUCUGUCAUAAUGUAAGUGUUCUUAUUCCCAGCUUUGGUUGUGGUACAUGUUCAGCUAUCUUAAAACAAAGUUGCAAAAUGGAGUAUUUACAUUGAUUGGAAUGGGAUGAUCAGCCUUUUUAGUGCAAAUUGAGAGUUAUUUGUAAGAGUCCCGCAUCUUCUUGGUAGUUUCUCCCACAAUUCAACAUUUCAGCAAAUAUCUGACGUGUAAACUCACAUUCCAUGAUGGGGAACUUCUGACCAGUGUGAGGAUGGGGAAAAUGGUCUCUUUUUAUGACAGAAGUUGGUGCACCAACAUUUAGGCAAUGAAAUGUGCUAAAUACCAGCGUGAAUAGAGAUUCUGGGAUUUAUUUAAAAGGUGAUGAAUGCAGCCCAGCCAAGAGUGGUACACAUUGAACAUAAAAAAACAACAAAAAAUACACUGACAUUGCAUUCCUGCAAAUACACCAUAAACAAUUGUUUGAAUCUAAUGGAACCUUAAAGGUGCCUUUAGGAAUCAGACAGACAGGACAGCAAAGAGUGUAUUGAAACAAACAGCAUAAAACAGCUAAAAAUGGAAAACCUGGAUAGGCGUAGAACAAAAAUGUUGCUUCAUGUCCAUUAUCUCCAGGUUAUUAUAUGUUUCUGGGAGGAAUGUCAUAAUGUUAGCACCCUAGCCUGUUUAACAGGUUUCAAUGCUACUGCUGAACCCAGUCCAUCAUUAAGAAAUACAAACUGUAGUUUUUUUUGGGAUGUAUGUAAAAACAGCUUGCAAAAGCUGCAGAUCACUUGUCUGCAGCCAUUGUAAGUCCUUCCCUUGUUCCCCAGACCUUACUUUUUGUGGCUAUCACAGAUUUCUCAAUGCAGUCUUUGCAAGGCAGGUGAUCUGAGCAAUUGCUGCCUUUUGAGUUUCUCUAUUGAGCUGAACAACCAGGAAGUAACAGGAAUGGUUGUUUGACAGUCAGAGGGAUGUAACAGGGUAAUUUAUUUAAUAACUCAUUUUUUGUAGAUUGCAAGUAAGAGGACACAGUCUUCAUGCAUUGCAGGAAACUGGGUCAUGGAUUGCAGGAUAAACUUACCAGGAAAGUUUAAAGGAACUUAACAUGUAUAGCUUGGAGGAAAGACGAGACAGGGGGGAUAUGAUAGAAACAUUUAAAUAUAUAAAGGGAAUCAACACAGUAAAGGAGGAGACUAUAUUUAAAAGAAGAAAAACUACCACAACAAGAGGACAUAGUCUUAAAUUAGAGGGACAAAGGUUUAAAAAUAAUAUCAGGAAGUAUUACUUUACUGAGAGGGUAGUGGAUGCAUGGAAUAGCCUUCCAGCUGAAGUGGUAGAGGUUAACACAGUAAAGGAGUUUAAGCAUGCGUGGAAUAGGCAUAAGGCUAUCCUAACUAUAAGAUAAGGCUAGAGACUAAUGAAAGUAUUUAGAAAAUUGGGCAGACUAGAUGGGCCAAAUGGUUCUUAUUUGCCGUCACAUUCUAUGUUUCUAUGCACAAUGCACUUCAAGCAAGCUGCAUGGCUUUAGGGGUCUAAGUGUCCUGGCAGUGUGUUUACAACUAAAAAUUAUUAGGAGAUGAGAAAAAUAUUAUUACUUCAUGUGCUUGUUCUUCUGUAUUCACUGUAGGGGUACAUGGUUUUAGUUCAUUACAGAGCUUGCACACACUAUCCACAGAUUUCAGAGAGCACAGCACAAGGGUUUUGUGUGGUGUGAGUUCACAUAAUAUUCUUCUGCUGAUAUGAAAUGGUGAACAUAUGAACAUGUGCAGAGCUGAUGUCAUGCAGACAUACUCAACGCUUCUUAAUUAAUUUCUGUGGGAAAGAAGGAUUGGCUAAUGUAAUGGCUGUGCUUCAUUGUUUUGGAGUUUCAGAGGAGCUGCUUUAGGACCUGCAGAAACCAACCAACCAACCAAAUGAUGUUAUAUUCUGUGUUAGUGUACAAACAUAACAGACCAUUAGAUAGAUGCAUUAAAUAAUUACAUUAAAUGUAUAUAAAUAUGUAGUAUGGAGAGUGAUUUCAGAUUUGAGUGACCCAGUGUUUUCUUGACAUGGGAUCCAGAGAUAGGCAACCUUUGGCACUCCAGAUGUUGUGGACUACAUCCCCUAUAAUGCUCUUACACCCAUAAUGCUGGCAAAGCAUCAUGGGAGGUGUGGUCCAAAACAUCUGUAGUGCCAAAAGUUGCCCAUGCCUGGCACAUGUAAUAUAUCUUGACAGUCCUUACAAGUCAACUGUCAUUUAGCAUGUAAACUUUAUGUGCACUCUACUGUUAGAUAUCUUGUGAUAUAUGUCUCGUGUUUAACUAGGAGAUGGGAGAUAUGGUGUGGAUCUCUCUAUAUAUAAUAAAAAAAAAUAUAUAUAUAUAAAGCAAAUAUACAGCAUCAUUUCACGAAAGUAAGCCAUUUUAAACCAAUAUACAUUCUACUCAAGUACUUUUUAAAGGGUUAAGGGUUUGUCCUUGAACAUGAAAUAAAAUGCUACAAUUAGAUUUUUAUGGUUUACCAACUGAAAAUACAUUUGUUCCUUGACAUAUAUUGCAGAGUUGCUAUGUCAAGUAUUAGGUUGCUGGAGCCUCUCCUCUCUUUACAAAACAAAUAUAAAAAUUUUUAAAGUGGAUCACUUUGUGAAAUUGUGAACUAAUAAAAGUUUUAACAGUACAAUAAAAUCUGUCAGUAUGUCAGUUCGUCAGUUCUUUAUAUUUUUCACUUUGAAUUGUAAAGUCAUAGAAAUGACCUAUUUGUGUUUUUUGUUUUUUUUAUAUAUAAAUUGUUCUUUUUAUAAUGUAAACGUGAAUUCAGUAAUAUAUUUGAGAUAAGUAGACAGAUACAUUUUUUUUAUUACAAAAACACUAGUACGAAAUACAAAUAACACAGGGAAAAUAACCCUAGACGGGAUAAAUGUGACUCAGAAUAGCUAAUAGUGUAAUGUUCGAAUUUUUUUUUUUUUUUUUAGUGUUUUCGAUUAAGCAGACAGAAAGCAAGGACUGUCAAAGGUAUCAGAAUAAUGAGGCAGCAAUCAUUGCUCAUUCUGUAGUAGUCACCCUUAAAAUUUAAAUAUGCUAAGGCUAAAAAACAACUUGCCUAACUAAGCCAUAAAUAUAUCGGCUGUUCGUCCACCUCUGAUCAUUUAAUGAACCUUGAAACCUAUAAUACAUUGUCAGAUGCACUUUAUAGUCCGCUUAAAGUACUUUACUCAAUUUUCUGCUCUAUAAAACAGCUAUUGUUGAUGUCUGUGUGUCUAUAGUGAUUAUUAGAAAAUAGGUUUUGGUACAAUUUUUAAUAAUUGUUCUAGGCUAAUGACUGUGCUAUUGAUUUGGUUUAUAUUUGUGUUUUUAUUUAAAGAUAUAACCUUAUUUCAGUCUGCUGAAGAAAGACUUAUGACUCAUGUUCCAAUUAUUAAAAUGUAUGACUAUGGUUCCAAGAAGCUACACUUGCCUAUAGCAUAUGCCAAAACUUGAUUUGACAGACAGAUUCAGCAGAUUUGGAAUGCUGGGACUAAAUGCUCACAAUCAGAAAGGGAGUGGUAUGGUUGAAAUACAUGGUAUGCAUAAUGAGUAUGUUGAAAACGAUCUAUGGUAGAAACAGAUAAAUUUCAUGGAGCAUGUAAUAAAAUCACAUGUUAUCCUUAAUCUCUGUGAGGCAAACUAUAACUUUCUUAACUGUCUAAGGCAGGGGUGCCCAAAAGGUAGAUCCGCAGCUGUUGUCAUUCUAAAGGCAUGCAAAGCAUUGUGGGAGUUGUAGUUCUACAACAUCUGGGGAUCUAUCUUUUGGACACCCAUGGCCUAGGGAAGGUGCGUGCAUACAUACAUAACAGCAGUUCCCAUAGAAACUGCUCACACCUUGCCUUGUGAGAUUACUAAUUCAAUUAAUAAACCGGUUUACACUGAACAGGAGAAUUCAGAGAAUGUAUAGGGGAUAACACACCCUUCUGUAUGACAGGAGGGAUUAUCUUGUUGUAUGUUCAUUAUAGAAUGAGACAACGAGAGAAGAAACAGGUGUGGCUGAGUAUUGGAAAAGGGGUUACUAGCUAUAGGGCUUGCAAUCUGGAUUCUUAAAGUUAGAUUAUAGUCAUCCAGACCACUUUAUCUCAAUGUCCCUGUCCUUUUAACCCUGCAAGGUGAAAUUGUUUUUUAGUUUGUUUUUUUUUAGAAACUGCAAUGUUUACAUUGCAGGGUUAAAUCCACCUCUAGUGGUUGUCAUACAAACAGCUACUAGCGGCAAGUAGAACUUGGUCACGUGACACGGAAGCUCAUAGGAAAGCAUGGAAUAUAAUGAAUGCUUUCCUAUAGGGAAGCUUGAAUGCAUGUGAAGCACGCGCCACACAUGCGCAUUAAGUCCCAAAGGUGAACAGUGCUGAAGGAGCCUCGGUGCUAGAAAAAGGGGGGACCUUAAUAUCACUAGGGACUAGAGCACUACAGUGUUAGGAAAACAAAAAAAUUUAUUCUUAGUGCUAUAGUGUUCCUUUAAAGCAAUAUAUAUAGAAUGUGGAAUUGGUACUAUCUCAAUCAGGGAUGCUUAUAAUAUGGGUUUUUGUAUGCACCUAUAAAACUGCUUGUACCAAAAUCCAUUUAAAGGAACACUAUAGUCACCUAAAUUACUUUAGCUAAAUAAAGCAGUUUUAGUGUAUAGAUCAUUCCCCAGCAAUUUCACUGCUCAAUUCACUGUCAUUUAGGAGUUAAAUCACUUUGUUUCUGUUUAUGCAGACCUAGCCACACCUCCCCUGGCUAUGAUUGACAGAGCCUGCAUGAAAAAACAAACUGGUUUCACUUUCAAACAGAUGUAAUUUACCUUAAAUAAUUGUAUCUCAAUCUCUAAAUUGAACUUUAAUCACAUACAGGAGGCUCUUGCAGGGUCUAGCAAUCUAUUAACAUAGCAGGGGAUAAGAAAAUCUUAAUUAAACCGAACUUGCAAUAAGAAAGCCUAAAUAGGGCUCUCGUUACAGGAAGUGUUUAUGGAAGGCUGUGCAAGUCACAUGCAGGGAGGUGUGACUAACAUAGCAGGGGAUAAGAAAAUCUUAAUUAAACCGAACUUGCAAUAAAGAAAGCCUAAAUAGGGCUCUCGUUACAGGAAGUGUUUAUGGAAGGCUGUGCAAGUCACAUGCAGGGAGGUGUGACUAGGCUUCAUAAACAAAGGGAUUUAACUCCUAAAUGGCAUAGGAUUGAGCAGUGAGACUGCAGGGGCAUGUUCUAUACACCAAAUCUGCUUCAUUAAGCUAAAGUUGUUCAGGUGACUAUAGUGUCCCUUUAACUUUGGAAAACCCCUAUUAGGGCAUACAAUCAUCAUAAAGGUUUACACCUAACUACCAAAAAACAAAACACUUUUUACAUUUUUAUGUUCAAGUUAAAAAUAACUGUUACACCAUAUAUUUGCAGCGUGAGUGUUUGCAAAAAAAUGUUCACAGUGAAAUAAUUUGUCAGGAAUCCAGAUGUGAUCAAUAUUUAAAAUAAUUACUCUCUUCGGAAUGGAUAUAUAAUUUAAUAUACGUAUAAAGUAAACCAAGUACAAUACACUGCAAAGUAAUGUGAUUAAGCCUCACUGCCUCAGCAGGAUGAUGAUACUGAAAAUCAGAUAGCUCUUGGUACAAAAAAAUAAAAUAACAUAUUAGAGUAACAUUACCUUAUCAAUACUUCAGUCUUUCAAAUUCAAACACUUGCACGCCAAUUCUUUCAAUACAAACGUAUUUUUUCUACAUUAACAGGAGCCAGACCAGGUAUAUGAAGGUAUCAAUUUUGAAGAUUUCCUUAAGGUAAGAAAAAAAAUAAGUUGCUGAUAAUGUAAAAGUGUCUAGCUCAAUGUAUCCCUUUUGUUUCUGUACUGCCAAUAAUUAUUACCAUCCCCCUCCCAUCACAUUCUCAAGACCCUGGUAAUUGAUUAGCUGCACUGGUGUACUUUACCAUUGAGCUUUUGCUAUGCAUUUAUAACAAUAAUAUUUCUUAAAUGUACUUUUAAUGUAUUAUGUUAACCGGAGUUUAACACCUUAAGGACUCAGGCAGUGCUAGGUGUUUGUUCCGCCAUGUUUUAAGGGUUUUAUAUAUAUAUAUAUACACUGCUCAAAAAAAUAAAGGGAACACUUAAACACAAUGUAACUCCAAGUCAAUCACACUUCUGUGAAAUCAAACUGUCCAUUUAGGAAGCAACACUGAGUGACAAUCAAUUUCACAUGCUGUUGUGCAAAUGGGAUAGACAACAGGUGGAAAUUAUAGGCAAUUAGCAAGACACCCCCAAUAAAGGAGUGAUUCUGCAGGUGGUGACCACAGACCACUUCUCAGUUCCUAUGCUUCCUGGCUGAUGUUUUGGUCACUUUUGAAUGCUGGUGGUGCUUUCACUCUAGUGGUAGCAUGAGACGGAGUCUACAACCCACACAAGUGGCUCAGGUAUUGCAGCUCAUCCAGGAUGGCACAUCAAUGCGAGCUGUGGCAAGAAGGUUUGCUGUGUCUGUCAGUGUAGUGUCCAGAGCAUGGAGGCGCUACCAGGAGACAGGCCAGUACAUCAGGAGACGUGGAGGAGGCCGUAGGAGGGCAACAACCCAGCAGCAGGACUGCUACCUCCACCUUUGUGCAAUGAGGAACAGGAGGAGCACUGCCAGAGCCCUGCAAAAUGACCUCCAGCAGGCCAUAAAUGUGCAUGUGUCUGCUCAAACGUUCAGAAACAGACUCCAUGAGGGUGGUAUGAGGGCCCGACGUCCAUAGGUGGGGGUUGUGCUUACAGCCCGUGCAAGAUUGGCAAAUUUGCCACUGGCGCCCUGUGCUCUUCACAGAUGAAAGCAGGUUCACACUGAGCACAUGUGACAGAGUCUGGAGACGCCGUGGAGAAUGUUCUGCUGCCUGCAACAUCCUCCAGCAUGACCGGUUUGGCAGUGGGUCAGUAAUGGUGUGGGGUGGCAUUUCUUUGGGGGGCCGCACAACCCUCCAUGUGCUCGCCAGAGGUAGCCUGACUGCCAUUAGGUACCGAGAUGAGAUCCUCAGACCCCAUUGUGAGAUUAUAUGCUGGUGCGGUUGGCCCUGGGUUCCUCCUAAUGCUAGACCUCAUGUGGCUGGAGUGUGUCAGCAGUACCUGCAAGACGAAGGCAUUGAUGCUAUGGACUGGCCCGCCCGUUCCCCAGACCUGAAUCCAAUUGAGCACAUCUGGGACAUCAUGUCUCGCUCCAUCCACCAACGUCAUGUUGCACCACAGACUGUCCAGGAGUUGGCAGAUGCUUUAGUCCAGGUUUGGGAGGAGAUCCCUUAGGAGACCAUCCACCACCUCAUUAGGAGCAUGCACAGGCGUUGUAGGGAGGUCAUACAGGCACGUGGAGGCCACACACACUACUGAGCCUCAUUUUGACUUGUUUUAAGGACAUUACAUCAUAGUUGGAUUAGCCUGUAGUGUGUUUUUCCACUUUAAUUUUGAGUGUGACUCCAAAUCCAGACCUCCAUGGGUUGAAAAAUUUGAUUUCCAUUUUUUUAUUUUUGUGUGAUUUUGUUGUUAGCAGGGGCGGACUGACCGGUCGGGCACUUCGGACAUGGUCCGAGGGCCCGGCCGGGAGGGGGGCCCGCCGCCAGGGCCGCCUUCAGGGGGCCCGGCGGCAGGGCUGGAUUGGGGGCGGCAUCUGGGGAUUUCAGCAGAAGGUGGCACACUGGCCGGCGGCUCCAGCAUGAAACGGCCGGCCCGGUGGCACACUGUGAGGGCUCCGGCCGUUUCAUGCUGGAGCCGCCGGACCGGGUGGCAGCCUCGCCGGUCCGGCGGCAUUCCUCUCACUAACGCUAAAGGAGGAGCAUGUCUCUCCCUCAUGCUCCUUUGCGGUUCCCACAUCCUGUGCUGGGAAUUGUGGGAACCGCAGGGAGCAUGACAGAGAGACAUGCUCCUCCUCCUUCAGCGUUAGUGAGAGGAAUGGUGCCGGACCGGCGAGGCUGCCAACCGGUCCGGCGGCUCCAGCAUGAAACGUGGCCGGACCCCUCAGACUUGAGUAAGAGGGGGCAAUAGAGAGAUGGGGAGGGGGGACAAAGAGGGGGAAAUAGAGAGAUGGGGAGGGGGGAGAAAGAGGGGAAUAGAGAUGGGAGGGGAGAAAGAGGGAACAGAGAGAUGGGGAGGGAGAAAGAGGGAGCAACAGGAGAUAUGGGGAGGGGGGAGUAAGAGGGGAACAGAUGGGAGGGGAGAAAGAGGGGGAAACAGAGAGAUGGGAGGGGGGAGAAAGAGGAGGGAACAGAGAUAUGGGGAGGGGGAGAAAGAGGGUGCACAGAGAGAUGGGGAGGGGGAGAAAGAGGGGGGAACAGAGAUGGGGAGGGGGGGCAAUAAAGAGAUGGGGAGAAAGAGAGGGAAGAAUGAGACACAGGGGGAGACAGAGACAGAGAGGGAAGAAUGAGACACAGGGAGAAAGAGGGGGAAUAGAGAGAUGGGGAGGGGGAGAAAGAGACAGAGAGGGAAGAAUGAGACACGGGGAAUAGAGAGAUGGGGAGACAGAGAGGGAAGAAUGAGACACGGGGAGAAAGAGGGGAAUAGAGAGAUGGGGAGGGGGGAGAAAGAGANNNNNNNNNNNNNNNNNNNNNNNNNNNNNNNNNNNNNNNNNNNNNNNNNNNNNNNNNNNNNNNNNNNNNNNNNNNNNNNNNNNNNNNNNNNNNNNNNNNNAGAGGAAGAGAGAUGUGGGGGAGAUAGAGAUAGAGAAAGGGGGGAGAAAAACAGUGGAAGAGAGGGAGAAAAAGGCAGAGGGGUAAGAGAGACUGGGAAGAAGGGGGGAGAAAGAAACAUACAGAGGGACGGGGGGAGACAAAAAGGCACACAGAAGGGCUGUAUAUAUCACUGGUGGAUCCAGGGGGUCAACAGGGCAAUUGCCCCCUCUCCCCUGUCCGCAAGCACCGUGCGGGCAGGGGAGGAAGGAAGAGAGGACCUGGGAGCUCACCCUGCAGCUCCUCUGGGUCCUUCUUGCACGAGCACAGAGCGUUGCCGCGAUUACCAUGGCAACGUUACCGCUCUUGUGAGAGUCAACUCUAGCCCUGGAGCUACGGUCUAGUGUUCACUCUCAACACUGUGACCCCCAGGGAUUCCUGGUGGCCGCAGUGGUGAGAGUGAACUCUAGCCCCAUAAACACACUGCCCCCACACACACACCAUACACAUUCACACACUGCCCCCAUACACACCAUACACAUUUACACACAUUGCCUCACACACACACAUACACUGCCCACCCAUAUACACACAGACCCCCAUACACAGCCCCCCAUACUAACAUUGCCACACCCUACACAUUCACACACUGAACCUUUCACACACACAUUGCACCACUGCUCCUAUUCCCUACUACAGCCCCAAAUCCCAGCAGAUCCCAGGUAAGUUGUUAAACUGUUCUUAAAUGGUUUGACUACUUACUCUGGAGCAGUAGUGGUUAUUGUGCAUGGAUUAUUUCUUUAAAUAAUCUACAAGUGCCCCAGUAGCCAGCCAGCCAACCCACAGGCUGGCCAGUAGCCAGACAGUUAGCCAGCCCACAGGCCAGUAGCCAGCCCACAGGCCUACAGCAAGCCACAGGCUGCCAGCCGCAGUCAGCAAGCCCAUAGCCUGCCGGCAGUAGCCAGCAAGCCCACAGCCUGCCAGCCGCAGCAAGCAAGCCCACAGACUGCCAGCAAGCAACAGUAAUUAAGGUAAGAGGAGCCAACUUGGCCUAGGUAUCAGCAAGUUAUGUUGUGUUGCUAUAUUGUGAAUAGGAACCAGAGUGUUGGAGAGACCACCCUCCAGGCCCCAUUAGACUCCAUUGUAGUCUCUAAUGGGGCCUGGAGGAGAUUCUUUCUAACACACUCUCUAAAGGACACUGAGAUAGCAUCUGCUAGAAAUCCCCUCCAUGGCCCAUUAGCCCUCAAUUGUAGUCUCUACUGGGGCCUGGAGGCGACUGUUUCCAGCAGGGGAUAUCUAAUGGACGCUGAGAUGGCCUCUGUUAGAAAGACCCCCUUCCAAGCCUUUUAGACUCCAUUGUAGUCUCUAAUGGGGCUUGGAGGGGAUUCUAUCUAACACACUCUCUAAAGGACACUGAGAUAGCCUCCGCUAGAAAGACCCCCCUCCAUGGCCCAUUAGCCUUCAAUUGUAGUCUCUGCUGGGGCCUCAAAGGGUUUAUUGCCCUUUUGUUCCUUGUGUCUAAAGAUUGUGUAGGGUGUGGCUGGAGGCGGUGCAUGGAGGCGGGACAAGGGUGGCGCUUGCUGCAGAGUAUGGGUGGGGCCUGUAAGGGGGCCCUUGAUUUAUUUUGCCCGGGGGCCCUGAGGGUUCUCAGUCCGCCCCUGGUUGUUAGCACAUUCAACUAUGUAAAGAACAAAGUAUUUCAGAAGAAUAUUUAAUUCAUUUAGAUCUAGGAUAGAUCUAGGAUGUUAUAUUUGUGUUCCCUUUAUUUUUUUGAGCAGUGUAUAUAUAACUAUAGUAUGUAUAUCCGUUAAAUAUAAAUAUAUAUAUAUUUUUUUAAAGAUCAGUACUUUUAGCGCUGUAUAUCCCUUAUCUGUCAGUCUGGGGCCCUAAAUAGUCCCUAGUUAUUGAUUAAUACCCGAGUCUCCCCAGUAUGAGCAGGGAUUUACCCCUACUCACAUUAAAAUGAAAGGACAUUCCAUCUAAUUUUAAGACGGCACAGAAUGGGUUAAUGGGUUAAUGAUUUUGUGAUUACCAUGGUUCUGGGAAGGAACUGUAGUAAGCACCAUAUCUCACUGAGUCACAGUACUGGAGGCCCCUGAUUUAAAUGACAUUUGGUUUGUCAUAUCUCUGAGGCUGACUGGAGGGUUCCAGAUAAAAUAGUAUGGGUGUAUGCAUAAGAAAAGGCAGCAGCUAGCAUUGAUAGAUUAGCAUCAAAAGAUACAAAGUUCACCUUAUGCUAAGAAUAACCCUAUGUGAAACAUGCACAGGAUCGUAGCAAAACCCUGCUCUGAGAGUGUAAUAAAUAAUUCAUUUUCAAUAAACCGCAUUUGAGAGAUAGAGAGAGAACUAAAUGUUUUAGUGUAGAUGUUAUUCUAAUGGUAAGUUAAUAAAGAGAUCAUUAUAAAAGUAUAUAAACUCAUUAAUUCAAAAAUAAAUUAAUACAUUGCUGCUUCUAACACUUCACCAAAUAAUCAAACUUAAACCAUAAUUAAUCUGACAAUAAUAUAUGUUUGAAGUUUGUUAAGUGCACAUUGUAAAUAAAAUUCUCCAAAGAAAAGUGUUUAGAGAUGCAUAGCACACAAUGAAUCACGUAAUGGAGAUCUCAGACCCAGGGCCGGUGCAAGGAUUUUUGCCGCCCUAGGCAAAAUAAAUUUUGCCGCCCCCCCAUAUGUCCUGCCCACCAUGUGACAUCACAAUGGCCCGCCCAUAUGCUCUGCCAUAUGGGCCAACGCCAGUCUUCACAAAGUGUCUUUUAUGUGAAAAGACAGUGUGUUUACAUUAAAAAGCCUACAGGCACAGGCUAUAGACACCAGAACCACUACUAUGCUGUAGUGCUUCUGGUGACUAUAGUAUCCAUUUAAUGUGAGGUAAAUUAGAGAUUAGUGCCACUAAUAAUAUAUUGGAUUGCCUACUUACCACCAGAUGAAGACAAGAGGCUGAUGAUGGGCUCUGUCUGGCUCCACAGGUCUGGUGUAGAAGAGGCUCUCAGGAGACUGUUUUUAACAGUGCUCACAACAAUUAACGAACAGGAAGCAGCUCCAUUUUUUAGGGCCACUUACACAGCUCAAGGUCUGGGCCCCCAGGGCUUGACCGUGAGUAUACCUACAAUGCCCACCCAUAAAUCCACCUACAUGACCCACCCAUGAGUUCUCUCACAGGAAGUGGAGUGUAUGUGUGUAGGGGAUGUUUUAUGUGUUAUUGCAGAGGAUGCAAGGUGUUUGUGUUUUUAUAGAAUGUAGUGUAUAGGGAUACCAAUUUCUGUAAGGGAUGUAGUGUGUUUAUAGGGGAUGCAGUGUGUGUUUGCGUGUAAGGAAUGCAUUGUAUGUUUCUGGGUGUGUGUGUGUGUGUGUGUGUGUAAGGGGUGCAAGUUGUGUUUCUGUGUAUUUAAUUGAAUGCAGUGUGUGUCUGUAAGGGGUGCAUUGAUUGUGUAAGAGAUGCAUUUUGUUUCUGUCUGUAAGAGAAUGAGUGUUUGUGUGAACGUAAGGGAUGCAUUGUGUGUUUCAGGUGUGUCUGUGUGUGAGUAGGAAUGCAUUGUAUGUUUCUGUGUGUAUGUGUGUGUAGUGUAAAAGAGAGGGUUUGUGGGGUAGGAUAGAGACUGAGAGGGGAGCAGCUCUUUAUUUUUUUCAUAGUGCUCUCCCCCCCUUGUCAAUUAUUGAUUUCCCCUUCCCUCCGUGUUCUCCCCUUAGUGCUCUCCAUUGGCCCCCUGUAGUCCCCCCUUGGUGGUCUUCUCACUCCCCCCUCUCCACCUUAGUGGUCCUCUCUCUCCCAAACCCCUUAGUAGACAUUCCCCUCCCCCCCCCACCCCCUUAGUAGUAAUCUCCCCCCCUCAGUGGUCAUUAUCCUCUUCCCCCUCCCCCCCUUAGGGUCCUCACUACUUACCCCCCUUUGGUGGUCCUUUCCCCACUUAGUGGUCCUCCCUCUCCCAAACCCCUUAGUGGACCUCCCUCCCCCCCCUUCCCCAGUGGUCCUUACUCCCCCCCUCCUCCCCUAGUCGUCCUUACUCGCCCCAUCUCUCUCCUCCGCCAGUGGUCCCCCCCCCUCUUCCCCAGUGGUCCUACUCCCUCCUGCCCUAGUGGUCCCUGCCCCAUCUCUCUCCUCCACCAGUGGUCCUUACUCCCCUCUCCUCCCCCAGUGGCCCUUACUCCCUCCCCCAGUGACCCUUACCCCCCUCCCCUCCCUGUGUUCCUUACUCCCCCCCGCUGUGUUCCUUACUAACCCUCCCCUGUGUUCCUUACUGCCCCUCCCUCCCCCGUGUUCCUUACUCCCCCCCCUUUCCAAAAAUAUUCUCAACAUAUAUUUCCAUGUAAUGUAGCUAAGAGAAACCGUUACGCUUAAAAAUGGUCAAUACAAUGUACUUGAAGUUUUUAGAGUGCUAUAUACUGUAAGUGUGUCACUUUAAAUAAAAUAGUAACAUCAAUGACAUCUGAAACAAACACACACUAUAAAAUCAAAUAUAAUUGAACACAAUAUACUAUUAAAAAAAAAAUCAUAAUAUACUUGUCAAAAAAUAAAUAAAAAAAAUCAGAUAGAGGCAAUUAUAUCCGUGAUGAACUCAACACUUGUUACAAAUACUCUUAGGAGCCAGCUAAAGGUUUUCUGCUAGUUAGAAAUGCAUUGUUAAUGGCUACACGACUCCUGUCCAUGGCAGGACUACAAUUAACAUUUUAAGGCAUAGAAACAUAAUUUAAUUUUACAGUCUGUUAAUAAACUGAGAAUAAAACGGGUUCUGUAUUUCCAAUAUGUAUAUGUUCAAUAUUUCUCCCCAUGCAAGUGGGUGAUGUAAUAAAUCUGUUCUCAGUUAUCAGUUUGGGCAUUAUAUAAAUAUAUAUUAUUUAUUUUUUUACAGAUUUGGGAGCGUAUUGAUAUUGAAACUCAGAUGCAUGUCAGAUUCCUAAAUAUGGAUACGUUACCAUCCUGCCACUGAUGACAUCUACUUACACGUUUGGGGAUAUUCCAAGGAUGAUUACUCACACAUUGUAAUGAAUCAAUUAUAAAAAAAACACUAUAGGGUCAUAAACACAAAUGUAUAUAUUCCUGACCCUAUAGUGUUAAAACCACCAAUUAGGUGGCUUGUCCCCCUAAACGUAAGAAAACUUACCUUAUCUCCAGCUUUACAUGGGUCUGACGGUGCUUGCCCCGCCCUGAUCCGCCUCCUUGGUGACAAUCAACAUUGAUGAUCUUAGCCAAUCCAAUGUCUUCCUGUAGGAAAAGCAUUGGAUAGGCUGAGAUCGUCAAGGAGACGAGGCGAGGCCAAACAGCAUCUCCUCAUUGAAUCAAUGCAUCUCUAUGGUUUAUGGGGAAAGUUCAGUGUCUUCAUGCAGAGCAUGGAGCACUGUCCCAGGAAGCACCUCCAGCAGUCAUCUGAGCAGUGGCCACUGGAGGGGACCCUAGGGAGCAAAAAGUCUGCAGGGACUGACUACACUCAACAGGAGAGCUACAUUAAGCUGUAGUUGGUUUUGUGACUAUAGUGUCCCUUUAAAGAAUUAGAAAAAAACAAAAAUAUAAAAUUCAGCACUUAAAAUAUGGUUCCAGUCCAAUGGCAGCUCAAUCACAGAGUAUGGAGCCUUUCUUUUCCAGUUAAAAGCUGGAUAAAACAGGGGGUAGGUGCAGCACCUAAAUAAUUCUUAUUUGGAUAUAUGCAACGAAAAAAAAAAAAGCCAAUAGUGUAGUAUAUUACAACUGUGGUUGGUAUAAAUCAGAUCAAAAUGUGCACUCACACUUUUAUGGAGCUUUAAUGCAGCUCCAACUUAUGCGCCUUUAUAGAAACACUAUAACAUUAUUAAUACAAAUGUGAAUUCCUAAUAUUGUAGUGUCACCGUGUAGGUGACCGACCCUCCCCCUGCAACAGUUGAAAAGGUAGAUUCAUUACCUCUUGGCCCAUGCUGCCCUGCUCUCUCCACUAGUGACCCCACCUCAUUGACUGAAAUCAUCAAGACUUGAAAUAUUGGAAGGCUGGCGCACAUGCGCAGCAAAAUGGUGCCUCUAUAACAUUAUUUGAUAUGACACCACAGGAGUUUAUCGCAGUGUGACAGCCACUAAAGGUUUUUAAAACCGGCAGUGUUCUCAGUUGCAGGGUUAAAACUGCAUGGACUUGGCACUUUACCUAGAUGAAGUGGUCUGGGUGCCUAUAUAGCGUCUCUUUAAUGGUGAUUGGACAAAAUCUUUAAAAUACAGUGUGUGUGGGUUAUGGUGGUCUGGAAGUUUUCAAGUUAAACAAAAGAUAAUUUGAAUUAUUUUGUUCACUUUACAACAUGGGUUAUCAGAGAUUACUGUUCAGUGGUUCUCUCAGGAAUGGAUGAGACAAUCCAAUAUGGAAGUAUGCGUAUAUUUUCAUUUUUUAGAAUAUUGCAUAUUUUAAUUUUAACAAAGCUAUAUUAGCUUGGAUUUUAUGCUAAAAUGAAUUUCUGGUUUACUGUAAUAAACACCAAACUGUUUGGACUUAUAUGCUUGGCCCAGUUUGUACCCUUUCACAUUAUUACCAAGGAAAAAGUGCUCAUAAAUAUAACACAUUCACAAACAAUCUGUCUGGGCCACACAUUUCCUGUAGAUUCAAUGAUCUAGUGCAGUCUCAAUCCAAAUAAUAUAGGCUGGGCACUCGUUUGACCUAGUACAACUGAAUCGGGAAACUAUGUUCAUUUAGGAGAUACACCACAUACAGUUUUUCAAAAUGUUUUAAUGUAAAGAAAAGUCAGAGAAAUGGACUGAAAUGUUGUGUGUUGUAAAUGUGACAGUUUGUAAACCUAUAUUCUUUGGUACCAAACAGAUAUGUAACAUCACCAUUAAAUCACAUUAUCUGCCUGAUAUUUCAACAGGCAGAUCCAGUUACAUUAUACAAUAAUAGCCUAUGAAUUAGGCUUGGAAGUGAGAAUAUCACAUAUGAUUAUGACUCCACUCAUUAUUAGUAAAUUUGUUAAAAGAAUAUUUAGAAAAAAUAUUCUUCCA